CCUAUGGAGAGUCCAAGAAGGAAUUUAAAGGAAAUCAAAGCUUUCAGCCUGCCUGCAGUGCUGGAUUUUAUCAUUUGAUUCCUGGAGAAUCCUGGUGUUUGACUCGGUGGUGUUUGGAAAGGCAGCGUGGUUUAUUCCCAAUCCAUGAAUGAAAAUCCAAAGGGAAAGGGCAGCGGGAGGAGCCCUGGGCUCCCCCCCUGUGCUGGUUUCAUGUCCCUUCCCCACCUCUGAUCUCAUGUCCCUUCCCCACCUCCCUGCCACCUCCUGAGCCAGGACCCUUCAUUUCACUUCCAAUUGAUUUUAGGGGGAAUUCCGAAUUCUGCUCCUCAGAGCCUCCUUAAGCUGUGAGGAAAAUCAAAAUGCAGAAUCCGUGGGAUGAGGAAUUCCUGGAGUCCCUGCAGUGCACAGGAGGCACAGCCCUGCCCUCCUCACCCCUCUCCCCACGCGUGCUCACUGCUCCCAGUGCUCCCAGUGCUUCCCAGUGCUUCCCAGUGCUCCCAGUGCUCCUCCCAUUGCUCCCAGUGCCUCCCAGUGCUCCCCAUUGCUCCCAGUACUCCUCCCAUUGCUCCCAUUGCUCCCAUUGCUCCCAUUGCUCCCAGUGCUCCCAGUGCCUUCCACUGCUCCCAGUGCCUCCCACUGCCCCCAGUGCCUCCCAGUGCUCCCAGUGCUCCUCCCAUUGCUCCCAGUGCUCCCAGUGCCUUCCACUGCUCCCAGUGCCUCCCACUGCUCCCAGUGCCUCCCAGUGCCUCCCACUGCUCCCAGUGCUCCCAUUGCUCCCAGUGCCUCCCACUGCUGCCAGUACUCCUCCCAUUGCUCCCAGUGCCUCCCACUGCUCCCAUUGCUCCCAGUGCUCCCAUUGCUCCCAGUGCUCCCAGUGCUCCCAGUGCCUCCCAGUCUGGCUGCAGAGAAUUCCAAGCCCGGCUCCUUUCUCCCCCCUUGCAGCUCUGGAGCUGCUGCGAAUCU
rnacentral:lncRNA from 12 species